UACGUAGGUGGCAAGCGUUGUCCGGAUUUACUGGGCGUAAAGGGCGUGCAGGCGGUUUGUUAAGUCUAGGGUGAAAGCUCCCGGCUCAACUGGGAGAGGUCCUUGGAUACUGGCGAACUUGAGGGAUGCAGAGGAAAGUGGAAUUCCCGGUGUAGUGGUGAUAUGCGUAGAUAUCGGGAGGAACACCAGUGGCGAAGGCGGCUUUCUGGGCAUUUCCUGACGCUGAGACGCGAAAGCGUGGAGAGCGAACCGG
rnacentral:rRNA from 1 species